GACGAACGCUGGCGGCGUGCUUAACACAUGCAAGUCGAACGGAAAGGCCCUGCUUUUGUGGGGUGCUCGAGUGGCGAAGGGGUGAGUAACACGUGAGUAACCUGCCCUUGACUUUGGUAUAACUUCAGGAAACUGGGGCUAAUACCGGAUAGGAUCUCCUGCUGCAUGGUGGGGGUUGGAAAGUUUCGGCGGUUGGGGAUGGACUCGCGUCUUAUCAGCUUGUUGGUGGGGUAGUGGAUUACCAAGGCUUGGACGGGUAGCCGGCCUGAGAGGGUGACCGGACAAAUUGGGACUGAGAUGCGGCCCAGCCUCCUACGGGAGGCAGCAGUGGAGAAUAUUGCACAAUGGGCGGAAGCCUGAUGCAGCAACGCCGCGUGGGGGAUGACGGCCAUCGGGUUGUAAACCGCUUUCGCCUGUGACGAAGCGUGAGUGACGGUAAUGGGUAAAGAAGCACCGGCUAACUACGUG
rnacentral:rRNA from 1 species